AUCACCUCUGGGCCUUUUGGCUAAGAUCAAGUGUAGUAUCUGUUCUUAUCAGUUUAAUAUCUGACACAUCCUCUAUCUGAGGACAUUAUAUUAAGUGUAUUUUUGGAAUAGGGAGAUGGACCAGGAGCUUGCUGUGUCCACUCCACCCAUCGACCUGGUAUUGCAAUACCUCCGGGAACAGUGCACCAAAA